AAGGCUUUAGCUUAAUUAAAGUGUCUGUUUUGCAUACAGUAGAUGUAGAUUAAUAACCUGCAGGUCUUA
rnacentral:tRNA from 1 species